rnacentral:misc_RNA from 1 species
AAGUCGUAACAAGGUCUCCGUUGGUGAACCAGCGGAGGGAUCAUUACUGAGUUACACUCUCAACCCUUGCGAAUUUUCUUGGUUGCUUCGGCAGAUUUUCCCUGGGAGGGAAGCAAACAAAUCUGCCAGAGGCUUGCAACUCUGAUUUCAGUGGCAUUCUGAAGAACCUUAAAAAAGUAAAAACUUUCAGCAACGGAUCUCUUGGUUCUGGCAUCGAUGAAGCCUGUCU